rnacentral:piRNA from 1 species
UAGGCAAGACAGACUAUCAGCCCUGCAGGC